rnacentral:rRNA from 1 species
CCUACGGGAGGCAGCAGUUGGGAAUAUUGGACAAUGGGGGCAACCCUGAUCCAGCCAUGCCGCGUGUGUGAAGAAGGCCCUCGGGUUGUAAAGCACUUUCAGUGAGGAAGAACGCCUGGUGGUUAAUACCCAUCAGGAAAGACAUCACUCACAGAAGAAGCACCGGCUAACUCCGUGCCAGCAGCCGCGGUAAUACGGAGGGUGCGAGCGUUAAUCGGAAUUACUGGGCGUAAAGCGCGCGUAGGUGGCUUGAUAAGCCGGUUGUGAAAGCCCCGGGCUCAACCUGGGAACGGCAUCCGGAACUGUCAAGCUAGAGUGCAGGAGAGGAAGGUAGAAUUCCCGGUGUAGCGGUGAAAUGCGUAGAGAUCGGGAGGAAUACCAGUGGCGAAGGCGGCCUUCUGGACUGACACUGACACUGAGGUGCGAAAGCGUGGGUAGCAAACAGGAUUAGAUACCCGAGUAGUC